CGCGUAGGCGGCCUUAUAAGUCAGAUGUGAAAGUCCACGGCUUAACUGUGGAAGUGCAUUUGAAACUGUGAGGCUUGAGUAUCGGAGGGAAAGUGGAAUUCCCGGUGUAGAGGUGAAAUUCGUAGAUAUCGGGAGGAACACCGGUGGCGAAGGCGACUUUCUGGACGAAUACUGACGCUGAGGCGCGAAAGCGUGGGAGCAAACA
rnacentral:rRNA from 1 species